rnacentral:rRNA from 1 species
AGAGUUUGAUCAUGGCUCAGGAUGAACGCUGGCGGCGUGCCUAACACAUGCAAGUCGAACGGACUUACAUUGAAGCCUAGCGAUAUGUAAGUUAGUGGCGGACGGGUGAGUAACGCGUGGGUAACCUGCCUUGUACUGGGGGACAACAGUUGGAAACGACUGCUAAUACCGCAUAAGCGCACAGCUUCGCAUGAAGCAGUGUGAAAAACUCCGGUGGUACAAGAUGGACCCGCGUCUGAUUAGCUAGUUGGUGAGGUAACGGCCCACCAAGGCGACGAUCAGUAGCCGGCCUGAGAGGGUGAACGGCCACAUUGGGACUGAGACACGGCCCAAACUCCUACGGGAGGCAGCAGUGGGGAAUAUUGCACAAUGGGGGAAACCCUGAUGCAGCAACGCCGCGUGAGUGAAGAAGUAUUUCGGUAUGUAAAGCUCUAUCAGCAGGAAAGAAAAUGACGGUACCCGACUAAGAAGCCCCGGCUAACUACGUGCCAGCAGCCGCGGUAAUACGUAGGGGGCAAGCGUUAUCCGGAUUUACUGGGUGUAAAGGGAGCGUAGACGGUUUUGCAAGUCUGAAGUGAAAGCCCGGGGCUUAACCCCGGGACUGCUUUGGAAACUGUAGGACUAGAGUGCAGGAGAGGUAAGUGGAAUUCCUAGUGUAGCGGUGAAAUGCGUAGAUAUUAGGAGGAACACCAGUGGCGAAGGCGGCUUACUGGACUGUAACUGACGUUGAGGCUCGAAAGCGUGGGGAGCAAACAGGAUUAGAUACCCUGGUAGUCCACGCCGUAAACGAUGAUUACUAGGUGUUGGUGGGUAUGACCCAUCGGUGCCGCAGCAAACGCAAUAAGUAAUCCACCUGGGGAGUAC